GCAUCAGUAGUCCAGUCGUAGGAUUCGAGCUUCCCAAGCUUGCGACCCGGGUUCAAAUCCCGGCUGGUGCA
rnacentral:tRNA from 1 species